rnacentral:rRNA from 1 species
AUUGAACGCUGGCGGCAUGCCUUACACAUGCAAGUCGAACGGCAGCACGGGAGCAAUCCUGGUGGCGAGUGGCGAACGGGUGAGUAAUACAUCGGAACGUGCCCAGUAGUGGGGGAUAACCCGGCGAAAGCCGGACUAAUACCGCAUACGACCUACGGGUGAAAGCGGGGGAGUCGCAAGACCUCGCGCUAUCGGAGCGGCCGAUGUCAGAUUAGGUUGUUGGUGGGGUAAAGGCCCACCAAGCCGACGAUCUGUAGCUGGUCUGAGAGGACGACCAGCCACACUGGGACUGAGACACGGCCCAGACUCCUACGGGAGGCAGCAGUGGGGAAUUUUGGACAAUGGGCGCAGGCCUGAUCCAGCCAUGCCGCGUGCGGGAAGAAGGCCU